UACGAAGGGGCUAGCGUUGCUCGGAAUCACUGGGCGUAAAGCGCACGUAGGCGGACUUUUAAGUCAGGGGUGAAAUCCUGGAGCUCAACUCCAGAACUGCCUUUGAUACUGGAAGUCUUGAGUUCGAGAGAGGUGAGUGGAACUGCGAGUGUAGAGGUGAAAUUCGUAGAUAUUCGCAAGAACACCAGUGGCGAAGGCGGCUCACUGGCUCGAUACUGACGCUGAGGUGCGAAAGCGUGGGAGCAAACAGG
rnacentral:rRNA from 1 species